GUAGUGUGUCCUUUCGUAAGGGGUUCUUUUGAAAGCUUUUCUUGGGAGUUAAAGCAAAAGAACCCCAGGGAACAUAGAAAAAUCCAAUUUGAGUCCGUCAUGCUGAGCUAUAGCACUUCUGUGAUACCUCCUAUCAGACCUUCAUACUGGCCAAACUUGGAAUUUCCUUAAGCGGAAUUCUAGCAAAAGUGGUUUAGGUGCACCUUGCCCCCAAUACCCCUCCCUCCUGUCCCCACACACACUCCUCUUAGAAUUAAAAGUCCGUCAGACUGGCCUUAGGGAGAGGGUGAUAAAUGGUGGCAUUUUCUCCUCAAGUGGAGCUUCACUGACCCUCUAGAGGAAAGAGAUAAGGGGAAAGGGGUGUGGUGGGAAGGCAGCUGUAGCAGCAGUGAAAGGAUGGCUGACCUAUGAGCUCAUUAGGGUUAGUAAUGGGUUCUCUCUCUGGUCUCUCGAUUUUUCUCACACAUCAGCUUCUCUGGAGUCCAGCCCCAACUCAAAGUUGAAGCAGCUCUGGCUAGAGCAAAACCACACCAGCAAUCUGCUCUGUGGUCUGGGUUUAGUCUAAAUGUUACCAGAGCACCAGAAGACAAAGGUUUGACUUGAAAGAACAAGCAGCAUGGUUCGGGAGACUGAAUUGUGCCGUGUUACUUUCGUUUUUUCUUGACUUUGGUUCUUCCUCUAAGCAAAAGGAGGAGGCAGAUGGGGAGGCCUGAUUUGGGUUGUGGCUGGGCUCCCUUGUCCUCACAGAUGCUAUGGCGGCAACAAUUUCCUGUCUUCUGCAGAUAGAGAAACUGAGUCCUGAAAGGUUGUGACAGCCUUGAAGUUCUACAAAGAACUGAAGUAGCAUAUGGCUCAUCUAGAAGGUAAAGAUGAGAAGAGCUUCUGCUUGAUGGGCACUUUCUUGAAGAGAUAUACUUUUGCUCAGCUUGGAAUGAAAUGCAGUUAACUCUUUAGAAAACUUUCGCAGGAGAAAAGUGCCUCGUGUGAUCUGGAACAAAGACAUUUUAUAAUCAGAUUUAUCAAGCUGCGAAGAGGGAGUUUUAGCGAACGGAAGCAGCAGCAUUCUGUCACCAGGAAAUACUGCUUUAUCCAGAAUUGGUAAGUGAAAAGAGGCAUCGCCCCCUAAUAGAUAUCAUAUGUUGUAUGUGGGAAUUGUAAAAUUGUUUACAGACCCCUAACAACUAGGUUGAACCAGAGAACACACAAACAGUGAGGAAUUCUAGAAAGAAGUAGCCCAAGAAUAUAGCAUAAAGGCUGAGAAGAAGCCAGGUUAUUUAACAAAGAUGAGCUGGGCUCUACCGGUUAGACAAAUAUAUGUAAUAUAUGACUAGAUGGCUUCCCCCCCCCCUUUUUUUAGUUGGGAGAGACAAAUAAAAUGGGUUGUUUGGUAGAGUUGGGGCAUUGACAUUGCAUGGGUGUGGAUUUCCAUUUAGUCUGAAUUGAAGGAAUGCUUUCAGAAUCACUCAGCUCACCCUCCUGUCUCUCUCUCUACCCAAGGAUGUCAAGCAUUUAGUUAGAACUCUACAAAAGGAAAGUUUAAGUAAUGCAUUGGAAACAUUUCCUACUGAUUGUGAAGGGCAGAUUAAUCUGGUAAUAGCCUUUUUUACAUUUGUGUCAUGAGUUUUAAGGUUGCUCUAUUUGAUUACAAUUAGUACAGCAAAAGGGUGGGUAUUUCUAAAUGGUCCAUCAUGUUUCGAGAGACUGUGAUUAGUAGUUCUUCCUGGUAGACAUGUGUCUGUCUGUCUUCCUCUGAAACAAAUUCACUUUUGUAAUCUUUGAAUCUGAGCUGCCCCGACAUUUAAAAUUUCCAGAAAAAUACAAUAAAGCUUUGAAUACUCGUGUUAUACACAAAAGGUUCUUAUUUGUAAACUAUAAAAAAA